rnacentral:rRNA from 1 species
GUGCCAGCAGCCGCGGUAACACGGGGGGAGCAAGCGUUGUUCGGAAUCACUGGGCGUAAAGGGCGUGUAGGCGGUCGAGUAAGUGGGAUGUGAAAUGCCCCGGCUCACCCGGGGACCGGCAUCUCAAACUGCUCGGCUCGAGUAUGGGAGAGGAUGAGGGAAUUCCUGGUGUAGCGGUGAAAUGCGUAGAUAUCAGGAGGAACACCGGUGGCGAAAGCGCUCAUCUGGCCCAAUACUGACGCUGAGGCGCGAAAGCUAGGGGAGCAAACGGGAUUAGAAACCCUCGUAGUCC